rnacentral:rRNA from 1 species
CUGCGAAUGGCUCAUUAAAUCAGUUAUCGUUUAUUUGAUAGUACCUUACUACUUGGAUAACCGUGGUAAUUCUAGAGCUAAUACAUGCUAAAAACCUCGACUUCGGGAGGGGUGUAUUUAUUAGAUAAAAAACCAACGCCCUUCGGGGCUCCUUGGUGAAUCAUAAUAACUUAACGGAUCGCAUGGCCUUGCGCCGGCGACGGUUCAUUCAAAUUUCUGCCCUAUCAACUUUCGAUUGUAGGGUAUUGGCCUACAAUGGUAUCAACGGGUAACGGGGAAUUAGGGUUCGAUUCCGGAGAGGGAGCCUGAGAAACGGCUACCACAUCCAAGGAAGGCAGCAGGCGCGCAAAUUACCCAAUCCCGACACGGGGAGGUAGUGACAAUAAAUACUGAUACAGGGCUCUUUUGGGUCUUGUAAUUGGAAUGAGUACAAUUUAAAUCCCUUAACGAGGAACAAUUGGAGGGCAAGUCUGGUGCCAGCAGCCGCGGUAAUUCCAGCUCCAAUAGCGUAUAUUAAAGUUGUUGCAGUUAAAAAGCUCGUAGUUGAACCUUGGGCCUGGCUGGCCGGUCCGCCUCACCGCGUGCACUGGUCCGGCCGGGCCUUUCCUUCUGGAGAGCCGCAUGCCCUUCACUGGGUGUGUCGGGGAACCAGGACUUUUACUUUGAAAAAAUUAGAGUGUUCAAAGCAGGCCUUUGCUCGAAUACAUUAGCAUGGAAUAAUAGAAUAGGACGUGCGGUUCUAUUUUGUUGGUUUCUAGGACCGCCGUAAUGAUUAAUAGGGAUAGUCGGGGGCAUCAGUAUUCAAUUGUCAGAGGUGAAAUUCUUGGAUUUAUUGAAGACUAACUACUGCGAAAGCAUUUGCCAAGGAUGUUUUCAUUAAUCAGUGAACGAAAGUUAGGGGAUCGAAGACGAUCAGAUACCGUCGUAGUCUUAACCGUAAACUAUGCCGACUAGGGAUCGGGCGAUGUUAUUAUUUUGACUCGCUCGGCACCUUACGAGAAAUCAAA